GGCAAGACUCACCCUGCAAUGGGGGAACAUAGUACCCUGCUGCUCCCUGGGGAAUACUUUAAUGCUUGCAACUAGCAGUGCACUUUCACUUGCUCUAGGUGUGACCUGCCUCCUCCAGUGCUUCCAGGGAGAAGUCUGAAAUGCAUUUGCUGCGUGCAGAAUCUCACCAUCAGUGAAGACUUAAAGCUUCAGAAAGAAACUGUGUAUUAAAAAUGGACACAAACUGUUGUCAUCUUUUAUCCUCUGAAGGAAAUUAAAGCAGAAUAAUAAGGGAAUGUGCUUUUGGAUAAUGAGGGGCAGGAAAGUGUGCAUGAGAUGACAACAGAAAGUAAUAACAGGAAAGAACAUUUUCUCUCCAUUUCAAGAAAGAAACCUCAAAAAAAUAAGAGGAAUGUUUUCAUUAAAGGGGGAAUCAUCUCUAAUUAUACUUUGUUUGUCAUCUUCCACUGCAAAGCUUUCAUUAGUAGUCUUCCACAUUCUAUCUUAUUUUGAAAACAAAAAUUAACCUAUAAUAAACUAAUAAUGUAUUAUUAUAUGUUGAAAAGAAUUGUGGGGUCAGCCACUUGGAUAUAAACACUGCCUGGCUUUGGGGAAAAUGUUGUUCUGUUGCUUCUCUUAAAAGAUCAGUGGCCAAAGAAACUAUCUGUUGGUCAGCGUGUUCAUGCUUCAGUAGGACAUUCUUGCUUCACUAGGGCUGACAAAUUGAUCUUGACAUAUUGAAAGAGGGUGCAAAUGUAAUGACAGCUGGG